rnacentral:rRNA from 1 species
UACAGAGGUCCCAAGCGUUGUUCGGAUUCACUGGGCGUAAAGCGCACGUAGGCGGCUUAGCAAGUCGGAAGUGAAAGCCCUUGGCUCAACCAAGGAAGUGCUUUCGAAACUGCUGAGCUUGAGUAGUUAAGGGGAUCGCGGAAUUCCCGGUGUAGAGGUGAAAUUCGUAGAUAUCGGGAGGAACACCAGUGGCGAAGGCGGCGAUCUGGGAACAUACUGACGCUGAGGUGCGAAAGCGUGGGGAGCAAACAGG